CAAGAAAUGCAAGUUGAUGAGUAAGAUGUUUAAAGUAUUUACCUCCUUAGAUUUGAUCCAAGAAAAGGUAACACUUUAGAAUAGUUUCCUUGAAAGAUAUCAAGGAAAGAAGCAUCAUAUGAUAAUGGAUUUCUCCAUUAAGAGAAGAACGAACUCGAAUAAGAUUUAGUUUGUUGGAUGUUAUCAAUUACCCAUAUAUAUAGGAUAUAUACUUCUAAGACAAUAUGAUUGUCAAUUAGAAGAUCUUCCAAAAUUUUCAUGACUCCAUAGGAUGUAGUUGGAAAGAAAGACAAAUCUUAAUCAUGUUAAGAUUAGGGGUUGUGUGCUAAUAAGCAAUAUUUGUUUGAGAAUUAUCUUGUGGAUAUCCUUAAAUUAACCUUUGUAUUUCACUUCUAUAAACCAACUAACAAAUAUUGUUUUGUUUUGAAUAUAUAUAAACACAUAUAUGAUAUAUUAAUUUUGGAAAUGAAAAGAAUACUUCUUCGUUAAAGUUAUGACUUUAAACAUUCUAUAAUGAUAGAAUGUAUAUGGGAGACAUAGUCUAUAAACAUGGGAUGGAAAUCUAUAAUGAUAGAUUUCAAGAUAUAAUUGGAUUAUAUCAAGCCCUAAUAAUAGACAAAAGAUGCUAGGAAGUUUCUCAUAUGAUGAUAAACUUCAAUCAGAAGAACAACUCUAGUGAGACUAGGAGGUAGCUCUUCUUAAAGGGAACGUACCCUUUGACUCCCAAAGAAAUAAUGCGUAAAUAGAAUUCUUUAUGCAUACGCAGAAAGGUGAUUUAUGUAUUUCAUAUUGUAUGAAAAAUGUUGAUAUGAGUUGUACCAAGAUCGGUACAAGACGAUAUCAAUGCAAGCCCAGGAUCAAAACCAUGGCAACCGUCAAGUGAAUCCUUAAGUAUUUGAGAAAUAAUAAAGGAUGGAUUCCUCAAAGAAUGAGGAAGAAUUAGAGUAACGUAAUGGAAG
rnacentral:lncRNA from 1 species